GGGGAAAGUAAUGAUUUCGGUUUGGUGAGGGGAAGGUGCCGAUAAAACUACCUUUUUGCCACCAGAGCCUGUGUUUGUCUCAUCAGGUGUGUCCCGGUCUAUCAACGGUCCUCAAUCCAGGUUUUGACUCAGUUCACUGCCCAAGACUCUAACAGCAGAACCACCCAUCUCCUGGGUUCCCCGGACUGGUUUGUGGACGUCACCGAGUUGGUUCUCGACCUGCUGAGAAUUGAGGACCCUCACGUGGCCUCCUUUGGACCUCAGAAACACAUCAUCGGUUUACAACCCGGAAAGACGUCAUUGCACGUCAUCUCAGAGCAGUGGGACGGUAUCCUGGGUAGAUGUGAGAUCACCGUGACGACCGAACCUGUCAACCCCGGAGACCUGUCUGUUCAGGUGGUCAGCGACCUUGGCAUGUCGGUCACGGCGAGCCCUGCUCACCCUUUCAUCACCACGGUGACAGUGACGGCCUACAACAUCCUCUACAACCACCAGCAGGAGGCAUCGGUCAACGUGUGGCUUCAGUUCAGUGACGACACCGCCUCCCUCCUGUCUUCCUUCAGCGAUCUCCCCCACUUUCUGAGUCUCUCCUCGUUGGCUGAGACCGUGGUCGUAGUCCCACCUGGCCAAAGCCAGCGCGCCUUCGCUCAAGGGGACGGAGGAGGGCCUUUAUUGUUUGCCGAGCUUCUCAUUUCCAUCUGCUACGGCCAGCAAGCGGCAUCCGGCUCUGUCAACGAAGGCGACGAGACGGGAUCUGAAGGGAGCAGGACCAGGAUGCUAGCAAAAGGGUCUGGUUGGAUAAGAGUCAACCUCGACCUGGGCUUCCUGCCCAAAACUGGGGAAGGCAGGGAGUUUGAUGUUGACAUCCCUGACAUACUGGUGGAGUCAAACGGCGACCUUUAUGUGUCCAACAACUAUAGACACAGGAAUGUGAGUAGUGACUAUAAGAUCGGGAAGCAAAACAACGGCUGGAACAAGGUGGCACAGGGAGAAACUGUAUAUGGGAAGCACUUGGAAAGAGCCGUGCAGAUGCCGGGCCAAGAGGAGGGUGCUGUGUACUUUUCCUCGAGCCACGAAAAAAAGCAAGGCUGGACAGAGGACAGCUAUCAGCAGGAGGACGCUCACGACCUGGAGGUGGGCGUGGCGGCCGUCCUCUCCCUGCUGGGCAUCUUCGCCGUUCUCUUCCUCGCCAACUUUCUCCCGAGCGCCCUGCGAGGCAGGGGGACCUCCAAACCGGAGCCGGGAGCAGAACCAGAGCGAGCUGCACAGGAAGCUGAAGAAAGGAAGAAGACGGAGGAUGAGAAAACGGAGCAGCAGGAGGACAGGGAUGACGACAAAGUCGAGAUCAUUUGCUGA
rnacentral:lncRNA from 1 species